ACUUCAGAGGGGAGGCGGAUCCGGGGAACGUUCUCUCCCACCGCCCUCGCAAGCGCUGGCUGGCUGGUCAGGCAGGUGCACAAGCCGAAGAGGGUGGCUGGCUAUCGAGGCUGCUUAGGACAGCUCCUGGCAGCAGCCGCGUGCACGGGAGCAUUCCCCUCAAACGUGGUCAGCUGUGUGGUCGUUCCGAGCCUGCAAGCAGGGGCGCUUUGGCUGGAGAUAACAGCCUGUCUCGUGUAAGCUCUUUAGCCCCGGGAAUUCCGCCUGUGUCGGCAGGGGGCUAAUGCCUAUAGUGACUAGAAAGCAACUACAGGUGGGUGGUUGGGCGUGGGUGCCUUUAGGUGGCAGGUGACCACAACCAGGCGGCACAGCAGGGUGAUGCACGUCGAGCGUGAAGAAAAGAAUAUUGUGACUGCUGAGCUCCGAGAGCCAAAACACAGGCACUGCGCAGUCUUAUCUGUGCUGCAGUUUUUAGUACAGCAAGGAGGUUUCCACAAACGACAGAGGGGAAAUGUCACAAGCCAGCAGAAGCAAACGUGCCAGGCGUGAAGAGGAAAUAAUAAGAAAGAAAAUAAUUUUGCUACCAUUUGUUACUCCUUGCCUGCGAUCAUCUCCUGUAUUUAAAAGCAAGAAAGUGUCACCGCUGGAUAGGGGAGAUUAUUCACUUGAUUCCUGAUGAGUUACUAAAUGCAGAGGUUACUCUUGCACUGGAGAAAGGAGAGAAAUGGUCACUUUUGGACAGCCGUUUUGGUCACAAAGAAAUGGCUGCAUAAGCAAAAAGUUGGCCUCUUCAUUCCAUAAUGUUACUGUUUUGGUUCUUCUGUUGGAGCUGGGUUGCCCCAGGUUGCUGAUCCAAGAGUGGACCUUCCCUCAGGGGGCCUUCUCUUAUUAGGGGGCUUACAAAGGCAGCAAAGCAGCCAGGCUGCAACACAGGAACAGUGGCACAGGCGUAGGGGCUGUUUCCUUUGUGUUUAUUUUCAUGUUUACUGUAUUUAUUGAUGAUGUUGAUGCUGUUUGCUUAUGGAACAUUUAAAGGACUUGGAACCUAGCAGAAGGGACUGGCUCUGACUGACUCUGUGGAACUUUUGCGACACAGCGCCUUUAUAAGGGCUGCACGCCAGUCAGCAGUUGCUGUCCGUUAGAGAGGCAGCUGGUAACAGUCUAUCUGCACGGGUUUCCUUCACCACAGAUCAUCGUCAUCACCGAUCCUCACCAUUGAUCUGAGUCCUCUUAUGCCUGAGACUUACCUGUCGUGUGUGACCCAGGGAACCUACCAUUUGUUGCUGUGCUCCUGAUCUGCUGAAGGUCCUGUGCUCCUCCUGUCCCGGGCAACCACUGGAAGCAGUGGUAGGUCCAGGAUCCACCUAGCCCAGCUGCAGAUGACUGCUUACGUCCAAAAGCUGCUGUGUGCAUGCAUCAUUAUCCAGUGGGUCCAUUGGGGACCUGCAAGUACAAACUUUUGGCUAUUGUCUAGGGUUGUUUGGAGACCAGGCUUCAGGCCCACUGUUGGGGCAAACCACUGAGUUAUUUUCCCUUUCCCCCUUGCAUUCCCUGUUAUUGUUAAAUUCCCUAAAUAAACCCUGUUUGUUUUGAAAGAUA